rnacentral:rRNA from 1 species
ACAACGGGGGUGCGAGGGCUGUCGCUGACCUUUCAAAAGGUCGUGCACGCCCGAGCGCUCUCACACAUCCAUCUCACCCCUUUGUGCAUCACCGCGUGGGUCCCCCUUUGCAGGAGGGCUCACGUUUUCACACAAAACUUGAUACAGUGUAGAAUGUUAUUUUUGCGGUCACACGCAAUCAAUACAACUUUCAACAACGGAUCUCUUGGCUCUCGCAUCGAUGAAGAACGCAGCGAAAUGCGAUACGUAAUGUGAAUUGCAGAAUUCAGUGAAUCAUCGAAUCUUUGAACGCACCUUGCGCCCCUUGGCAUUCCGAGGGGCACACCCGUUUGAGUGUCGUGAAAUCAUCAAAAACCCUUUUCUGUUUACCGAAAAGGAUUUUUGGACUUGGAGGUUUAAUGCUUGCCUUUCACUUUUGAAAGCGAGCUCCUCUCAAAUGAAUUAGUGGGGUCCGCUUUGCUGGUCCUUGACGUGAUAAGAUGUUUCUACGUUUUGGAUUUAGCACUGUCCCUUUGGAUCCCUGCUCCUAACUGUCCAACGGACAAACGAUGGUGCUCCGGUCGCCGCCGUCUACAUUGGCGGGGGAGGGCUGGNCCCACGAAAGAAAACCUUGA